UACGUAGGCGGCAAGCGUUAUCCGGAAUUACUGGGUGUAAAGGGUCCGCAGGCGUCUUGUUAAGUUAGGAGUUAAAUCCCAAGGCCUAACCUUGGGGCUGCUCUUAAGACUGACAGGAUAGAGUGUAGGAGACGGAAGUGGAAUUCCUGGUGGAGAGGUAAAAUCCGUAGAUAUCAGGAGGAACACCUGUGGCGUAGGCGGCUUCCGAGCCUAUAACUGACGCUCAUGGACGAAAGCUAGGGGAGCAAACAGG
rnacentral:rRNA from 1 species